rnacentral:rRNA from 1 species
CGUUAACGAACGAGACCUUAACCUGCUAAAUAGUUAAACCUGAUUUUUUAUCAGGUUGACAACUUCUUAGAGGGACUAUCGGUGUUUAACCGAUGGAAGUUUGAGGCAAUAACAGGUCUGUGAUGCCCUUAGAUGUCCUGGGCCGCACGCGCGUUACACUGACAGAGCCAACGAGUUCAUCACCUUGGCCGAGAGGCUUGGGUAAUCUUGUGAAACUCAGUCGUGCUGGGGAUAGAGCAUUGCAAUUAUUGCUCUUCAACGAGGAAUGCCUAGUAAGCGUGAGUCAUCAGCUCGCGUUGAUUACGUCCCUGCCCUUUGUACACACCGCCCGUCGCUACUACCGAUUGAAUGGCU